rnacentral:rRNA from 1 species
AUUGAACGCUGGCGGCAGGCCUAACACAUGCAAGUCGAACGAGUGGCGGACGGGUGAGUAAUGUCUGGGAAACUGCCCGAUGGAGGGGGAUAACUACUGGAAACGGUAGCUAAUACCGCAUACCAUCGGAUGUGCCCAGAUGGGAUUAGCUAGGAGGUGGGGUAACGGCUCACCUAGGCGUGGAUCCCUAGCUGGUCUGAGAGGAUGACCAACCAGACGGGAACAGAGACACGGUCCAUACUCCUACGGGAGGCAGCAGUGGGGAAUAUUGCACAGUGGACUCAAGCCUGAUGCAGCCAUGCCGCAUGUAUGAAGAAGGCCUGCGGGUUGUAAAGUACUUUCUGCGAGGAAACGUUACUCGCAGAAGAAGCACCGGCUAACUCCGUGCCAGCAGCCGCGGUAAUAC